UAAAUGUAUAAGUGUGUAAAUGUAUCAAAACCAAAUCAAAAUAACUGUUUAUUAUGACCACAACCACUCCAGCAGCAUCAGACAGCAAGCUCCCAAGUUCCUUCAAUAAUUACCUACAAGCAUGUAAACAAGUGUUCAAUAUUGCGUUACGAUGUUGCUCAUGUUAGAUACCCUAGGGAGUGUGCCCAUGUGUAUCCGGGGAGUGGGUACCCCUUAACGACCGUUUGCUAUGUUGCCUUCGUUAGAUACCCUAGGGAGAGUGCCCAUAUGUAUCCGAGGAAUACCCUAGGGAGAGUGCCCAUAUGUAUCCGAGGAGUGUGCCUCUAACAACCAUAGCCAUACCCAGAUAAUUAGUUCACGCCCGUCCUUACGGCCCGGUGUGAGGUUUCCCACCUAAUAGCGCUAUCAACUAAUCACCCCCAUUGCCCUCCAGGCAAUAACCAAAACCGAUUAAGUUAUUUACCCAAUGUUUCCCUUCCAAAUGUUUACCAGUUGUCCCAAACCACCGGGACGCAUGCUUGAGAAAAGUGCAGUGAACUCACCUUUGGUUUGCUCGGUUGGUCUCUUAAAAAUGGUUAACAGUCAAGGUAGGUCAAUCACGUCCUAGCAUGGUUACCAUAUCUUAAUUAGAUUCGUAUUCAAUUGACGUCACGUAAAUAUCCACACGUAGCACAUAAAGCAAGUCAUGAUAAUGCACUAAGUAACAUACUUAAUCCAAUUACAGAUACCCUAAGUGUAUGGCCCAAA
rnacentral:lncRNA from 1 species